AGGCAGCAGUGGGGAAUAUUGGUCAAUGGGCGCAAGCCUGAACCAGCCAUGCCGCGUGCAGGAUGACGGUCCUAUGGAUUGUAAACUGCUUUUAUACAGGAAGAAACACUCCCUCGUGAGGGAGCUUGACGGUACUGUAGGAAUAAGGAUCGGCUAACUCCGUGCCAGCAGCCGCGGUAAUACGGAGGAUCCAAGCGUUAUCCGGAAUCAUUGGGUUUAAAGGGUCCGUAGGCGGCUUAAUAAGUCAGUGGUGAAAUCCCUACGCUUAACGUAGGAACGGCCAUUGAUACUGUUAGGCUUGAAUUAUUAGGAAGUAACUAGAAUAUGUAGUGUAGCGGUGAAAUGCUUAGAGAUUACAUGGAAUACCAAUUGCGAAGGCAGGUUACUACUAAUGGAUUGACGCUGAUGGACGAAAGCGUGGGUAGCGAACAGGAUUAGAUACCCUGGUAGUCCACGCCGUAAACGAUGGAUACUAGCUGUUGGGUGCAAACUCAGUGGCUAAGCGAAAGUGAUAAGUAUCCUACCUGGGGAGUACGUUCGCAAGGAUGAAACUCAAAAGAAUUGACGGAA
rnacentral:rRNA from 1 species